GGCGUAAUGCUUGAUUCCUUCUGUACUGGAUGAUGAGGAAUAUAGUUUUUUUUUCUUGAGUGUAAGCUGUUUCAUCCACUCUCUCUAUGAAUCCAGUUCGUUCCUGUUCUUGUAUUAUGUUCCCAUACUUCUUUAAUAUAUCAGAUUUUAGAGUAUGCCUUUUAAUGGUGUUUUCUGUCCUUCUUUUCAUGACUGCUUUUGAAGGCAAUUCAUCAUGAUCCUGUUUCCAUGGUUACUAAGCGAAAUAUUUAUUUUUUCUGAACUCAAUUGAUCUGUCUUGAUAUGCUUUAAUAUAGGCAUCGUCGUCUUUAUCUAACUCCUUACUAUUUAUACCUAUUGAUUCUAAUUUCCAAAAUAUC
rnacentral:lncRNA from 1 species